rnacentral:rRNA from 1 species
GGAGGGGGCUAGCGUGGUUCGGAAGUACUGGGCGUAAAGCGCACGUAGGCGGCUUUGUAAGUUAGAGGGGAAAGCCCGGGGCUCAACUCCGGAAUUGCCUUUAAAACUGCAUCGCUAGAAUUGUGGAGAGGUAAGUGGAAUUCCGAGUGUAGAGGUGAAAUUCGUAGAUAUUCGGAAGAACACCAGUGGCGAAGGCGACUUACUGGACACAUAUUGACGCUGAGGUGCGAAAGCGUGGGGAGCAAACAGG